GGGAAGCAGGAGGGACCACCCUCCAAGGCUAAAUACUACCUAGUGACCGAUAGCGUAUAGUACCGUGAGGGAAAGGUGAAAAGAACCCCGGGAGGGGAGUGAAAUAGAACCUGAAACCCUGCACUUACAAGCUGUGGAAGCACAUUUCUUGUGUGACCGCGUACUUUUUGUAGAACGGGCCAACGAGUUACGUUAAGUAG
rnacentral:rRNA from 1 species